rnacentral:tRNA from 1 species
ACUGCUAGAGUUACAAUGGUUAAGCACUUGGCUGCUAACCAAAAGGCUGGCGGUUCAAACCCGCUCAGUGGCU